rnacentral:rRNA from 1 species
UACGGGGGGAGCAAGCGUUGUUCGGAUUUACUGGGCGUAAAGGGCGCGUAGGCGGCCACCGCAAGUCAGUUGUGAAAUCUCUGGGCUUAACCCAGAACGGUCAGCUGAUACUGCGGGGCUAGAGUGCAGAAGGGGCAACUGGAAUUCUCGGUGUAGCGGUGAAAUGCGUAGAUAUCGAGAGGAACACCUGCGGCGAAGGCGGGUGCUGGGCUGACACGUGACGCUGACAGCGCGAAAGCUAGGGGAGCGAACGGG